GAUGAACGCUGACAGAAUGCUUAACACAUGCAAGUAAACUGUGGAGGACGGGUGAGUAACGCGUAAAGAACUUGCCUCACAGCUAGGGACAACAUUUGGAAACGAAUGCUAAUACCUGAUACUGUGAGAGAGAUUUGCGUCCCAUUAGCUAGUUGGAGAGGUAACGGCUCACCAAGGCGAUGAUGGGUAGCCGGCCUGAGAGGGUGAUCGGCCACAAGGGGACUGAGACACGGCCCUUACUCCUACGGGGGGCAGCAGUGAGGAAUGUUGGACAAUGGACCAAAGUCUGAACCAGCAAUUCUGUGUUCACGAUGAAGUUUUCGGAAGGUAGAGUGCUUUCAGUUAGAAAGCGGUACCAACAGAAGAAGUGACGGCUAAAUACGUGCCAGCAGCCGCGGUAAUUC
rnacentral:rRNA from 1 species